AUUGUACAGUGAUUGUAAAACAUUCCUCGUACUGAUCGGAGAUCCUCGUGAACUGACUCCUAUACACCCAUAGAUUCUGAGCACCA